CUGUCACUACUUCGAAGAUGUGCGACGGAGUCCGAGGUCGUGGCAGAGAGCUUGAGACGUCCAUCGCACCGCUUGUGAUUUUUAUAUGAAUUGCAACGGCCCUAACACGGGAGAGAACGCUGAGCGUUACAAC
rfam:Corynebacterium flavescens strain OJ8, complete genome.